rnacentral:rRNA from 1 species
GAUGAACGCUGGCGGCGUGCCUAAUACAUGCAAGUCGAGCGAACAGACGAGGAGCUUGCUCCUCUGACGUUAGCGGCGGACGGGUGAGUAACACGUGGAUAACCUACCUAUAAGACUGGGAUAACUUCGGGAAACCGGAGCUAAUACCGGAUAAUAUAUUGAAGCGCAUGGUUCAAUAGUGAAAGACGGUUUUGCUGUCACUUAUAGAUGGAUCCGCGCCGCAUUAGCUAGUUGGUAAGGUAACGGCUUACCAAGGCAACGAUGCGUAGCCGACCUGAGAGGGUGAUCGGCCACACUGGAACUGAGACACGGUCCAGACUCCUACGGGAGGCAGCAGUAGGGAAUCUUCCGCAAUGGGCGAAAGCUUGACGGAGCAACGCCGCGUGAGUGAUGAAGGUCUUCGGAUCGUAAAACUCUGUUAUUAGGGAAGAACAAAUGUGUAAGUAACUAUGCACGUAUUGACGGUACCUAAUCAGAAAGCCACGGCUAACUACGUG